UGGGAAUGACUCUACUGAACUCAGUAAUCUUAAACCCUUUUUGGACGCAGAGUUUAAAAUCAAGGACCUUGGAGAUGUUCACUAUUUUUUGGGGAUUGAAGUUAUCAGAGAAUCACAUGGAAUAUUAUUAAGCCAAAGAAAAUUUACAUUGGAUUUACUUGCGAAAUUUGAUUGUACAGACUCUCCAGUCGUCUCCUCUCCCCUUGAUCCAUCCAAUAAGCUUCAAGCAGAUGAAGGGAAAUUGCUCUCUAAUCCAACUAUUUUUUGUCGUUUAAUGGGGAAUUGAAUUUCUCACCCAUACUCGACCAGGAAUCUCUUUCCCAGUUCAACAUCUCAGCCAGUAUAUGCAGACUCCACGAAUAAUCUUGUAGGGCUUCGUGUAGUCUGGUAUUUGAGAUCCGCUACUGCAAAAGGGAUCUUCUUCUCCUCUAGUCAUUUGUUCAAGCUUCUUGCUUUUUACGACUCCGAUUAGGCUUCUUGCCCUGAUUCACGUCAUUCAGUAAGUGGCUAUUUAAUUAGCCUAGGCGGAUCCCGGAUUUCCUGGAAAUCCAAAAACAAACUUCAAUUUCUUUGUCAUCGGCCAAAGCUGAAUACAAAUCAAUGCAUCGUGUUAUAGCUGAACUCACUUGGAUGGUUCGUCUUCUUGAAGACAGCUCUGUAAGCCCAAUUCUUCCUAUCCUAAUCCAUUUCGACAAUCAAUUGGCAAUUCACAUAGCUAAAAAUCUCGUCUUUUAUGAACAUACUAAACAUGUCGAGCUCGAUUGCUAUUUUACGGCAACAAUAUCUUUUCUUGCCUGAUUUCCCUCUCUUUUGUUCCUUCUUCCUCCCAAAUCGCCGAUCCGUUCACAAAAUCCCUUUCCGGGCCUUCUCAUUCUUUGAAUAUUCGCAAGUUGGGCAUAUCUUUUCUUUUCUCCAACUUGGGUGAGGGGAGGGGAGGGAGGGUGUUGGCACA
rnacentral:lncRNA from 1 species